GAGUAGUAAAAGUUAAGAACUAUAAACUCAAAAGAUUUGGCGGUAUUUUAUCUUAUCAGAGGAACCUGUUUAUUAAUUGAUAGUCCACAUUAAAUCUACUUUUUUUAUUUUACUUGUAUACCGCUGUCAUGAAUAUAUUAAUAAAUUUACUUUCUCGUUUUCCGACGGUUUAUGUUAGGUCAAGGUGCAGUGUAAAGAGUUAAAUGGGUUACAUUAUAUGAAUGGAGCAAAAAGGAUUUGAAAGUAAAGUUAUAUAGGUUAAUGAAUUUAGAUUCUAAAAUAUG
rnacentral:rRNA from 1 species